UCUGACGCAGCACGCCGCGUGAAGGAUGAAGUAUUUCGGUAUGUAAACUUCUUUAAGCAGGGAAGAAUUUGUGACGGUACCUGCAGAAUAAGCUCCGGCUAACUCCGUGCCAGCAGCCGCGGUAAUACGGGGGGAGCAAGCGUUGUCCGGAUUUACUGGGUGUAAAGGGUGUCUAGGCGGAUAUGUAAGUCUGAUGUGAAAUCCCGCAGCUUAACUGCGGACGUGCAUUGGAAACUAUGUAUCUUGAGUGGAUGAGAGGUAAGUGGAAUUCCUAGUGUAGCGGUGAAAUGCGUAGAUAUUAGGAGGAACACCAGUGGCGAAGGCGGCUUACUGGCAUCUCACUGACGCUGAAGCACGAAAGCGUGGGGAGCAAACAGGAUUAGAUACCCUGGUAGUCCACGCUGUAAACGAUGAUUACUAGGUGUUGGGGGUAUAAAUUCCCUCAGUGCCGCAGUUAACACAAUAAGUAAUCCACCUGGGGAGUACGACCGCAAGGUUGAAACUCAAAGAAAUUGACGGGGGCCCGCACAAGCAGUGGAGUAUGUGGUUUAAUUCGAAGAUACGCGAAAAACCUUACCAGAACUUGACAUCCCGAGAAGUCUUCCGAAGGGAAGAUGUGCCGUUUACGGAACUCGG
rnacentral:rRNA from 1 species